UACAGAGGGUGCAAGCGUUGUUCGGAAUUAUUGGGCGUAAAGCGCGUGUAGGCGGCUUUGCAAGUCGGGGUGUGAAAGCCCUCAGCUCAACUGAGGAAGUGCGCCCGAAACUGCAGAGCUUGAGUACCGGAGAGGGUGGCGGAAUUCCCCAAGUAGAGGUGAAAUUCGGUAGAUAUGGGGGAGGAACACCGGUGGCGAAGGCGGCCACCUGGGACGGGUCACUGACGCUGGAGACGCGAAAAGCGUGGGGAGCAAACAGG
rnacentral:rRNA from 1 species